CAGUGAUAGACAUUUUAAAUGCUACUGCUCUUUCACCAUUUCAGCUACAAACAUUGAAACAACUUCAACAUUUUCAAAACUUUAUAAAUGAUAACUAUUUACAUUUUCAUGAAUUACCAUAAAUAACCCACCAACAGUAAUAUUAUAGGCCUAACUCUAGAACUGUUCAAGCUAGAGACACCCAACUAACUUUCACCUGUUCCAGCUAUCCUUUCUAUCAACCAUAUUACUUCAAGACAAGCUAGCAAGCACACCCACUUUCUUUAGGAUAUGUACUUUUCGAGUAUUCAGUUGACCUUAGUCACCGCAGGUGAAUUAUAGCUUCCAUGUAAGACCAAUAGGUCUACGACUACGGACGGGGAAUGGACAUAUGAACCGAAUUGCGUUGUGGUUAAAAGCUUAUAUUUACCGCAGAGGUCGCUAUACGAGCUGCUUAUCUGUAAAACUUUUCUUUGCCAUUUACCAUGCAAAAUAUCCCCAUAAAUAUAUUUUGAACAACAUAAACUAGACGAACUGUAUAAUKAUUAUUGUUCGAAAAAUGUCCCCAUCGUGCUCAUGGAAUCAACCUUCUCUGAGGAGGAAGGUAGAGAGAAUAAUUGUCUCAAACUCUUCAAAUUGUAAACCAGUGAAUUCAUAUCAAAAGACAAUGAUUAUAAACACAAAGGCUAUUUGUAUUGCUGACAGUCACACCCCAAAAACGUAUAAGAAGAGGUCUCAGAGGUGUAGUUUCUGGGAUGUUUCUGAUAAACUGGAGGUUUCCAUUUGAUUGGAAGGCUGUACAGGUGGUUUGGGRGAUGCGCAGUGUUGCCCAACGUCACAAUCGGUGGUGGUAUAAAUUCCCCUGGGUUUGUCCUCCAGUCAUUUAUCUUGAGAAAAGCCUGAGGCAGGAUAGCUACAUUACGCGCAAUUGUUGCUGGGAAGAUCCCGUUAACAAGAUGACUAAAAUGUUGAUGGCUUACAUUGGAUUUCUUCUCCUUGCCAUGCAUUUUUCAUCACAGGUCCAUGCUCAAAACUCUACCACACAGUCCCCUGCCAUGAAUGCUACGACCAAAGCUGGCAGUGCUAGUUCCAAGAUGCCUGAUGUCACCAAGAACAACAUUGCCAAAGGAGCCAGUCCAUCUUUGCAGUCCAGCUCCUUCACGCUCAUCAUACCCAUCAUGGUGGGGGGCUCACUACAGGGGUGCUUCUAGAGGGUCUGUUGAGCAGUGAACAGACACCAGCAAGACUUUAACAUCCCUGGCCUAGAUGGGGUAAACUGUUUCACAAAGAUCACAUUUUUAAAAUAAAUAAUCAGAAAGGCAGUCGUGCGCUCCUAACCGAAGAGAUUUGGUGGAGUUGCCGGAGGAGAACCCAUUUCUACUUCACUGAUGGGAAUUGUUAUUUGCCCUCGCACCUUCCGGACGCUUCAAACCAGUAAGCCUUCACACCUCGCACACUGGCCCCAUGCCCCUCUCCAUGGAGGCAGUCCAUGAUGAGUAUGUACUGUACGGAACUCUGCUCUUUGAACCGUUUGGUCCCGCUGUUCCUGUGUAGACACCAGGGGGUAGUUUAGUAAUUUGAUAAAAUAUCUAAAGAGAGGUUGGUUGAGGCACUUUGAAAAUAAGGUAUAGAAUCUGUGGCACAUGCACAAACAGUGGCAUUUCUGCACCUGCAGUGGGUACUUUAUCAGAGGCUUGAUGUACACUUGUGAUUUAUUUCUAGAAUAUGGAAUUGUGUGAGUUAGCAUAUGUGAUAUUUAAUCGUCUAAAUCAGUGAUGUGAUUUGUUUUUAAGGCCAGGUUCAAUAAACCUUUGAAAUGUAGGUUACUUGUGACAAUUGUCUUGUAAAAUAAAAAUACUUUAACAUAAUGUUUCUCCUCCUGUCUCUAAAUUCUAAAGCUUGACCUGCCAAGUAAUUUGCUCUGUUCCACUUGUGUCCAGCCCCUUUAUUGAUCACAUAGCUAAGCCCAGGGAUUUCCUUAAGGUAGACUAGGUUUGAUGUGCCACAAAUUAAAUCCUUAUUUUAGAAUGGGGUAUAUGAAUGUUCACCUUUUGUCCAGUUGUAGCAUUUAUGCCAUGUCAACUAGGACAUGACUUGUCUUGCAUUCCUUGUGGCCAAAACAGGUCCAGUUCCUGACAGUUGACUCACUUGCAGGCUGCUUUAAUUAGUUUACUUUACCCUAGCUACAUUUACCUGUGACCAGUCAUUUACUAACUAGCCUACAAAGAUGUUCAGGGGAAGGCUGGCUGUAAGGUAUACUUGCACUGAAACUAAUAGUUUCUUGACACUGGGUCUUGCUGGUUGGCUCUCAGCCAAAGGGAUACUUAGAAUGGUGACAUUCAUCCCAGAAGUCUAAACCGGGAGUUUCUAAGCUAUAUUGCGUGGUUAUAAGGUCAUACCAAGGAUAAUUUUGAUAUUAAUAAUUUCACAACGCCCUUGAAUCAGACAAUGAAAUUAUGACAUUACUGCUAUUCGUCCAUACAGAUUGACAACAGUUUUGUCCUCAAGUGUCAGAUCAGGCAACAUUUAACAUAGUUCCUUUGGUGCAAAAUAAAAAAUCCUGGGGGACCUUCAGGUGAGGUGUUUGUCUCACCUUUCCAGAGGCUUCAUAGUGUAUAGUAGAUCGAGGCUGUUCAAACUAGUCCCAAAAGAUGCUUGUGGGGGUUGUGAAAUUAACUGAUAUUCUGUUUGUGAGGAUGUGAGAAGACCGAUUUAAAAAAAAAAAAAAUUUCCAGGAUGUGUCAUGGUCUGACUAACACCUUUCACAUAGGCUGAUGUGGCUAAUUUGAACUUUUAACUUGAUUUAUGGGGAUUGAAAGGAGGCUUUAGGUUGUGGCAAUAGUCUGGUAAUUUUAGAUUCAAACCAAUUUGUUUUAUUUUUUGGCAUGUUAUUUUGGUAUUGAUACGUUUCACAUGUCAUUUUUUUAAAUUAAAGCCGCAAACAUGGUCUCUUGAGUAAGACUGCUCCAAUGUAGGUUUUUCAGCCUAGCUCAGUACUCU
rnacentral:lncRNA from 1 species